rnacentral:rRNA from 1 species
CAUGUAGGCGGCUUUGUAAGUCCGGCGUGGAAGCCCACGGCUCAACCGUGGGAUUGCGUUGGAAACUGCGAGGCUUGAAUCAUGGAGAGGGAGCUAGAAUUCCUGGUGUAGGGGUGAAAUCUGUAGAGAUCAGGAAGAAUACCAGUGGCGAAGGCGAGCUCCUGGCCAAUGAUUGACGCUGAGGUGCGAAAGUGUGGGGAUCAAACAGGAUUAGAUACCCUGGUAGUCCACACUGUAAACGAUGUGCACUAGGUGCUGGGGCGGAUGCUUCAGUGCCGGAGCUAACGCGGUAAGUGCACCGCCUGGGGAGUAUGCUCGCAAGGGUGAA